rnacentral:rRNA from 1 species
UAGGGAAUCUUCCACAAUGGACGAAAGUCUGAUGGAGCAACGCCGCGUGAGUGAGAAGGGUUUCGGCUCGUAAAACUCUGUUGUUAAAGAAGAACAUAUCUGAGAGUAACUGUUCAGGUAUUGACGGUAUUUAACCAGAAAGCCACGGCUAACUACGUGCCAG